AGUUUGCUUUUUUUUCAGGAUGAACGCUGGCGGCGUGCUUAACACAUGCAAGUCGAACGAAGCACCUGAGAAUGAUUCUUCGGAUGAAGUCUCUUGUGACUGAGUGGCGGACGGGUGAGUAACGCGUGGGUAACCUGCCUCACACAGGGGGAUAACAGUUGGAAACGACCGCUAAUACCGCAUAACCCGCUGGUGCCGCAUGGCACUGACGGAAAAGAUUUUAUCGGUGUGAGAUGGACCCGCGUCUGAUUAGCCAGUUGGCAGGGUAACGGCCUACCAAAGCGACGAUCAGUAGCCGGCCUGAGAGGGUGAACGGCCACAUUGGGACUGAGACACGGCCCAGACUCCUGCGGGAGGCAGCAGUGGGGAAUAUUGCACAAUGGGGGAAACCCUGAUGCAGCGACGCCGCGUGAGUGAAGAAGUAUUUCGGUAUGUAAAGCUCUAUCAGCAGGGAAGAAAAUGACGGUACCUGAUUAAGAAGCCCCGGCUAACUACGUGCCAGCAGCCGCGGUAAUACGUAGGGGGCAAGCGUUAUCCGGAUUUACUGGGUGUAAAGGGAGCGUAGACGGUGAUGCAAGUCAGAAGUGAAAGCCCGGGGCUCAACUCCGGGACUGCUUUUGAAACUGUGUGACUGGAGUGCAGGAGAGGUAAGCGGAAUUCCUGGUGUAGCGGUGAAAUGCGUAGAUAUCAGGAGGAACACCAGUGGCGAAGGCGGCUUACUGGACUGUAACUGACGUUGAGGCUCGAAAGCGUGGGGAGCAAACAGGAUUAGAUACCCUGGUAGUCCACGCCGUAAACGAUG
rnacentral:rRNA from 1 species